GAUUAUGGCUCAGGAUUAACGCUAGGCGGCGUGCCUAAUACAUGCAAGUCGAAUGGUAGCAAUACCAUGGCGAACGGGUGAGUAACACGUAGGUAACCUGUCUUUAAGCCGAGGAUAACCAUUGGAAACGAUGGAUAAUACUGGAUAGGAUAUUUUAAGGCAUCUUUUAAUAUUUAAAGAUUUAUCACUUAGAGAGGGGCCUGCGGCGCAUUAGCUAGUUGGUGAGGUGAAGGCUUACCAAGGCGAUGAUGCGUAGCCGGACUGAGAGGUUGAACGGCCACAAUGGAACUGAGAACGGUCCAUACUCCUACGGGAGGCAGCAGUAGGGAAUUUUCGGCAAUGGGCGGAAGCCUGACCGAGCAACGCCGCGUGAACGAAGAAGUAUUUCGGUAUGUAAAGUUCUUUUAUUAGGGACGAAAAGACAGAUUGACGGUACCUAAUGAAUAAGCUCCGGCUAACUACGUGCCAGCCGCAGC
rnacentral:rRNA from 1 species